UGUUGCUAGGGAAUUAGUGAACAAUAUGAAUGAGUGUUCAUUGCUUGUGCCAAGACACAGACGAAUGGAUUGGUCAUAGAAAAGACUGAGGUGAUGUUAGUGCAGGAACCUAUAUCCCUUGAGAUUGUUUGCCUAUAUGUACCUGUGUGCAUUUUCUGGGAGAAGAAAAGCUCUUUCUUGUCCAGUUUUCAAGGAGGCGUGACACAUCCCCCUCACCUUCCAGAGAUAAUAAGUCUUUGAUUUUAAUUAGAAAGUUGACAAAGUUGACGUAUAUCCCAUAUAGUUGACUCCAGAAAGAAGAAUCCAGAGGAAAGAGGACAGAAUCAGAGCUUGGGAGAGGAGAUGAGCAUGGAGAGAAAUGGGAAUGGGAGAGCCAAGGAACAGGGCAGGUGGAUCAAGGCUUAAAGUUGAGAAGGUACGAUGGUUGAGCUGGAGGUGGAAAG